rnacentral:rRNA from 1 species
GUACACGCUGUGACUAGCAUAUCAAUAAGCGGAGGAAAAGAAACUAACAAGGACUCCCCUAGUAACGGCGAGUGAAGCGGGAAGAGCUCAAAUUUGAAAUCUUAAAGGGUUUCCCUUUACGAAUUGUAGUUUAAAGAAGUGUUUUCUGUUGAGGUUUUGGUAAAAGUUCUUUGGAAUAGGACAUCAUAGAGGGUGAGAAUCCCGUAUUUGACCUUUACUUUCAACUUUGUGAUACACUUUCAAAGAGUCGGAUUGUUUGGGAAUGCAGUCCAAAAUGGGUGGUAAAUUUCAUCUAAAGCUAAAUAUUGGCGAGAGACCGAUAGCGAACAAGUACCGUGAGGGAAAGAUGAAAAGAACUUUGAAAAGAGAGUUAAACAGUACGUGAAAUUGUCAAAAGGGAAGCGUUUGACACCAGUGUUGUUUUUCUGAAAAUCAAUUAAAGAACUGUUUAUGCUAAGUUGUUUAGACUUUAUCAGCUAACUGUUUAGUUUUGAGCUUUUCUUUAAUGCACUUUUCAGUUAACAAGUCAACAUCAAUUUCUUUUGCUGUAAAAAAGCUUGAGGAAGGUGGCUUGAGAUUCGUCUUAAGUGUUUAUAGCCUCUUGCCUAUGCAGUCGGAGAGAUUGAGGUCUGCAGCGUAGAUCCUUCGGGGCUAAAUGCAUUUGUGCUAAGUUAUAGCAUUUUAUAGACAACUUGUUGACUAUGAUUUGUCUUGUAGCUUACUCGCUUAUGUUAUUUUACCUACGCUUAGGAUGUUGAAGUCAUCGUAUCGCGC